GCCUCCUGAGACCUCCAGGAGAUGGAGGAUAGGAAGGGUGUAAUGACCUGGGUGACAGUGGAAUCCCAACAGACUGGUUUGUAGAUGCCCCAGGACACAAUGGCUAGAGGCACAGCCUUGAUGAAUAAGGAAGGAAGCUGAGUCUUGGAAAUGUCCAUCAGAAUGACUGCCUCAUGAAAGGUUAAACAGUUCACUAUGGACGUGAGAUUCGUCAUAAGGAGAAUGAGUAACAUGGCCACCCGCUGGAAGCUGAGUUUUGGAAUUCAUCAAAAGUCUUCCAUAAGUGACCAGCCCGGUGCUCUGCAGGAAAGGAGCCAAGCCACCAAUACUCAACGCUCCAGGGAAGCCACCGGGUUGGAUAUCUCAACAAAUGGUGGACUAUAUGUGAGGCAAACAGAUGAACAAGCCAAAUGAUUUUAUGGAAUCCAUAAAAAU
rnacentral:lncRNA from 1 species